GCCUGGAAGGAGAGGUCUGCGGAAAAUGGAUGUUCUUAACACUGAAUAGGAGCUUGUGUCAAACCAUGACUGUGUUCUUAAGCACUUUGACUCCGAAAUUCUACUUUGCCCUUACAGUGACUUCGUCUUUUAUAUCUGGACUGAUAUUUGUGUUUGAGUGGUGGCAUUUCCGAAAAUACGGCACAUCUUUCAUUGAGCAGGUUUCUGUGAGUCAUUUGAGGCCCCUCAUUGGUGGUGCAGAAAACAGCCCUCCAGCACCAGCAGCAUUCUCUGCUGGAGAGAAUGAGACAAGCAGGCAGAAUAUGCCAGAGUGCAAAGUGUGGCGAAAUCCUCUCAAUCUUUUCAGAGGAGCAGAGUAUAGCAGAUACAUGUGGGUGACUGGGAAGGAGCCUCUUACAUACUAUGACAUGAAUUUGUCUGCUCAAGAUCAUCAGAACUUUUUCACAUGCGAUACAGAUGCCCUUCGGCCAUCAGAUACAGUUAUGCAGAAAGCAUGGCGAGAGAGAAACCCUCAAGCCCGGAUUAAAGCAGCGUAUCAAGCUUUAGAGUUGAACAAUGAUUGUGCCACUGCAUAUGUCCUCCUGGCUGAGGAAGAAGCAACAACUAUUGUGGAUGCUGAGAAGUAUUUCAAGCAGGCUCUGAAAGCAGGAGAAAUGAUUUACAGAAAGUCUCAGAACUGCCAUUCCCAAAGCCCCCAGCAUGAAGCACAGCUGAGAAGAGACACCAAUGUAUUAGUGUAUGUGAAAAGGAGACUAGCUAUGUGUGCAAGAAAACUGGGAAGAAUACGAGAAGCAGUAAAAAUGAUGAGAGAUUUGAUGAAAGAGUUUCCACUUCUCAGCAUGCUGAAUAUUCAUGAAAACCUCCUGGAGGCACUGCUGGAGUUACAGGCUUAUGCAGAUGUCCAGGCAGUUUUAGCAAAGUAUGACGAUAUCAGUCUUCCAAAAUCAGCAGCAAUAUGUUACACAGCAGCCCUGCUAAAAGCCAGAGCUGUUUCAGAAAGGUUCUCCCCAGAAACUGCCUCCAAAAGAGGGCUUAGUACAGCAGAAAUUAAUGCUGUGGAAGCAAUUCACAGAGCUGUGGAAUUUAACCCUCAUGUUCCAAAGUAUUUACUAGAAAUGAAAAGCUUAGUGCUACCUCCAGAGCAUAUUCUGAAACGAGGGGACAGUGAGGCAGUAGCAUAUGCUUUUUUUCACCUCCAGCACUGGAAGAGAAUAGAAGGGGCUCUAAAUCUGCUGCACUGUACAUGGGAAGGCACAUUUAGGAUGAUCCCAUAUCCAUUAGAGAAAGGUCAUCUUUUCUAUCCCUAUCCGAGUUGCACAGAAACAGCAGACAGAGAGCUGUUGCCAACAUUUCAUGAAGUCUCCGUUUACCCACAGAAGGAACUUCCCUUUUUCAUCCAUUUCACAGCAGGCCUAUGUUCCUUUUCGGCAAUGCUUGCCCUCCUUACGCACCAGUUCCCUGAGCUGAUGGUCAUUUUUGCUAAAGCUGUGCUGCGGGUGCUGUGGCCUGUGACUGCUCCCAGCGUUCUGGCCUCAAGCUGAGUGGACCAUGCCGGGUGCUUUGGGACUCUUUCACCUUUCAGCUUCAUUAUGGAAAAUAUUGAGGUCCUCCUGCUCUCCAGUCUCUGGCAUCCACUGACUCCAGUGUGACUGGAGUGUGCUUUCCACGAUGGUUCAAUUUUGUUGUUCUCACAAGCCUCCCCCUCUGGUGGUUAGCUGACCCCUAGACAUGGGGGGCAAGGAAGAAAGCUGGGCUAUUCAAACUGAUAUCUUUGACAGGCUUCCAUGUUAAACAGGAUGGCUUCUGAAAGUGCCAAAAGUGGUUGUGACGUUUGCAUGGGAGUCUUUUUGGGAGACCUGAAUUUUCAAGCGUUAGUCCAAAGUACUGUUGUUGUUGAUAUCAAGACUUGAAGAGAACUGAGAUGUGGAGCACUCUUCAAAGGAAUUGCUUCAUUAUACAGACCAGCCACAAGGGUUUGUUUACUGCAGAGGUGAAAAGAUGGUGGUGGCAGCCAAAUGGUUUGAGGUAACUGGUGUGACCUCCAUUUCCACUCUCCCCCAUUAGAGAAAAUGUCUACUUUUUCACAUUCAGGUCUGGUGCUUGGCACUGAGGAAGCAGUCAUGUUGGCCAAGGCUUUGUAGAAGUGGAGGUGAUAAAAAUUGCACAGGCUUGUGGAUAAGUGCUAAUUCUGAGCACAUGAAAAGUUGUCCAUCAUCUUAUGUGUUACAGAUAAGCACAUAUACUUACCCAUAAUAACUAGGGAAAUUUCACAUGUUCAGUCUUCACUGAUCUUUGUGAAGGAUUGAUGUAAGCUGUGAUGUUGA